UCCCAUUGAAUUGAUUGUUUUGAGCAAUAAACGGGCUCAGGUCGGCUUAAAAUCAGCUGUUGUAGAAGAAAUUCCUUCUAGUUCUAAGGAAUCAAAUCAUAGUAUUUCCAAUGAUUUUGAUCAGGCUACUGGUGAAAGCUCUCUUUCAUCUAUCAUAUCUAUUGAUGUUGAUAUUUCAUCUAUUGCUAAGGUUUUUUUUUUUUCCAUAUUUGUUUGUAUAAGUGUUUGUAACUGAUCAUAUACUGGUUUAUUAAUGAUCAAUUUAAUUUUUUUUAAAGGCGAAGGAUUUAAAUCUUGAAGGUGUUUCUGCUGUUCAACCUUGUUCUAAUUUUGGUGCAAAUAAAGGUGCUUCUGGUGUUAAAACUUACUCUCAAAUUAAUCCAAGAGUUCCAAUUCAUACUAGUGCGUCAACAAAAUCUCCUGUUGUUAUUCAACCUACUGUUCCCAGGAAUGUUCAAAAUCAAACUCAGAAUUGUUCAAACACCAAUCCAGAAAUGAUCAUAUCCAACUCCAGGAA